UUUAUGGAGAGUUUGAUCCUGGCUCAGGAUGAACGCUGGCGGCGUGCCUAAUACAUGCAAGUCGAGCGAACGGACGAGAAGCUUGCUUCUCUGAUGUUAGCGGCGGACGGGUGAGUAACACGUGGAUAACCUACCUAUAAGACUGGGAUAACUUCGGGAAACCGGAGCUAAUACCGGAUAAUAUUUUGAACCGCAUGGUUCAAAAGUGAAA
rnacentral:rRNA from 1 species